GCCAGGCCUGGUGGUGCAUGCCUGUAAUCCCAGCAACUCUGGAGGCUGAGGCAGGAGGAUUGCAAGUUCAAAGCCAGCCCCGGCAACUUAAUGAGGCCCUAAGCAACCCAGUGAGACCCUGUCUCUA
rnacentral:sRNA from 1 species